GUCGAGUCGGCCUGCGCGGAAGAUGUAACGGGGCUAAACCAUGCACCGAAGCUGCGGCAGCGACGCUUAUGCGUUGUUGGGUAGGGGAGCGUUCUGUAAGCCUGUGAAGGGGUGCUGUGAGGUAUGCUGGAGGUAUCAGAAGUGCGAAUGCUGACAUAAGUAACGAUAAAGCGGGUGAAAAGCCCGCUCGCCGGAAGACCAAGGGUUCCUGUCCAACGUUA
rnacentral:rRNA from 1 species